AUUGAACGCUGGCGGCAUGCCUAACACAUGCAAGUCGAACGGCAGCACAGUAAAGAUUUCGGUCUUUAUGGGUGGCGAGUGGCGGACGGGUGAGUAAUGCGUAGGUAUCUGUCCUGGAGAGUGGGAUAACCCGAGGAAACUCGGGCUAAUACUGCAUGAUAUCGAGAGAUCAAAGGCAGGGGACCCUUCGGGGCCUUGCGCUCUAGGAUGAGCCUACGUCGGAUUAGCUAGUUGGUGGGGUAAAGGCCUACCAAGGCGACGAUCCGUAGCUGGUCUGAGAGGAGGACCAGCCACACUGGGACUGAGACACGGCCCAGACUCCUACGGGAGGCAGCAGUGGGGAAUCUUGGACAAUGGGGGAAACCCUGAUCCAGCGAUGCCGCGUGUGUGAAGAAGGCCUUCGGGUUGUAAAGCACUCUAGUUGGGGAAGAAAAGUAAUGAGUGAAUAACUGAUUGCUCUGACGGUACCCAAAGAAUAAGCACCGGCUAACUCUGUGCCAGCAGCCGCCGUAA
rnacentral:rRNA from 1 species